UCGUUCUUGGUCAAAUACUUGCAAACGGGACCGAGCCCGUAAAGCCGUUCAACGCCGUCGCCGUCAGGGAGUGUACGGAGGGAGCAGGUGAGGAUGGAGUAAGCCGCAAGAAGCCGGAGGAUACGGUCGAGCAUGACCGGAGCUUCAGGGUUUUUGGUCGGGAGAUGGGAAGCGACCUCAGAGGGAGACAUGGGAGAAGAGUUCUUGGCCAUGAUCUCGAGAAUUCCGAGCUCUAUAACCGGUUUUAAAGCCAUCGGAAUAACAGGGGCAUGGGCUAGCUGCAUGGCGAAGAGGGCAGUUUCGUCGUCAUCGGUAACUUGCACCGGAGUUAUCUGCGUCUCAGCCAUCGUUCCCAUUCCCUCUUUGAGUAUUUUCUUAUUGAACUUUUUGGUUUCUAGAUCUGUGUGAUGGGUGAGAAGGGAGGAAGAUGAGAGGUUCAUUUAUUGGAAAAAUAGGAGACCGGCCGGCCCCAAUAAACUCAAGCCUUUAAAAGAAUUAUGAAGAAGAGAAAAAAAAAAUUAUGAAGAAGAGAUCGCAUGCAGUGGCCCAAGAAAAUCAAAUGUAUUCCUGAUCAGAUAAUAAACCCAAACAAAUUAUGACUAAAUUAGCUUUGAUAUCUCCAUCUAUGAAGACAUUUUCAUUUUGCUCAACAAUAAUAUAUUUCGAUAACAGAAUGAAUUUACAGUCUACUACCGCAAAAGUUAUAUAUUUUGCCAGCAGUUUUUCUCUAAAGAUAGGAAAUUUUUAUGACCAAUUUUCUAUGCAAUUUUGACGAAAAGUAAAAGUGAUAGGAAAUUGGUAGGAAAUUUCCUACCAAAUAUUUUGUCAAAAUUUCAUAGGAUAUUUCCUACCAAUAACUUAUCACGUGGUCAAAAUUUAAAAGGAAAGUGGUAAGGCCAAUGGCGGGUAAGUAUUUCAUAGAAAAUUUCCUACCAAUUUUUGACGACAAAUUAUGUGUAAGAAAAUCGUAGGAAUUUGGUAGGAAAUUUUCAAAUGUGGGACAAAUAAUAAAGAAGCUGCUCUAUAAAUAAGACAUUCAUCUUCUUUUUAAUUAAUUUGUUUUUUUUAUAUAUAAUAUAUAUAUAGUAUCUCUAUAUAUAGUAAUAAUUGAAUUAAUAAUUAAUUCAUUUUUUAGUUUAAAUUUAAUUUAAUUUUUAAUUUUAAAAAAUAAUUAUUUUUUUUACAAAAUCUGGCAAAUGGUAGAAAAAUAGUAGGAAUAUUUGAAAUUGGAAAGAAUGAAACUGAAGGAAGAUGGAAGUAAUUUCGUAGGUACUUUCCUACGAAUAUCCUAACGCAAAAAUUUUCCUACCAAAAUUUUCGUAGAAAAUUUCUUACGAUUUUUUACCUUUUAAAAUUUCCGACGGCAUAAAACUUACAAAAAUAUUUGGUAGGAAAUUGGUAGGAAAAGCCAAUUUCCUACAAUUUUCUGAUGAAAUAUAUAGUAGAAAUAUGUGAUGUUUUCUUGUAGUAGUGUAAUAAAAUAAUUAUUUUGUUUAUCAUUAGCCUUCGAUCAAAAAAAAAUGUCAAUCAUUAGCCGGGAAAACAAAUAUGCUACGAAGCACAGAAUUUUAUAAGAACUCUAAAGAAUGUUCAAAUUCUCUCAUUAAGUCCUUUUUCAAUACCAAACUAUUUCAGAGAAUAUACAUUUGUUAACUCGGCGAUAAUACUUAUUUUAAUGAUAUAGCUAAUAGACGAAUCGAAUUUCGUUAAAUAAUGCUCAAUUUCUAUUUUUAUAAAUUAAACAAAUCGCCAUAGAAACAGCGACACGCGAUCGAAAAUGGCAAUAUGCAGAGAUUAAAAGAGAGAAAACAAAGAAAAUAACAAUUUUUACCAAAAAAAAAAUAAAUAAAAAAAAAUAACAAGAGACCAAAACGGCAAAACCACCUGUCCGCAGAAAGAUAACCCUUUUCGACAAGUGGCAAACCCUAACAUGCUCGACAACACUUAGAGCAGGUCACAAGUUUUUAGGAAUUUUGGGUUAAAAAUAAAAGAAAAAAAAGAUACUGAAGGAUCGGUUCAUCAGAUCGACUUUGAUAACCCCGUAUCCGUACCACAUGGCGAAAAUGUAUUGGGCGAGAAUGAAUGGUAAUUUUGCGGUGAAAAAAAAUUUUCAAGGGGAAAAAUUCUUUUUUUCUUUCCCGAGUCUUUCUUUCUCUCUUCCUCUUCUCCGGCGCUGAAUCCGUCGCAAUCCGGAGAUGUAAUCCGGUGAAUUCUCUCGCUCUUUUUGAUAACAAUCGAUAUUGGUUUGGAGGAUUUGCAGUGGGUUUGGUAUUGAUUGGUAUUGUAUUUCGUUUUCCUGUGUUUGUAGAUUCUUAUGAGUAGAUGCGUUAUCUCUUUUGUUAACAAUGGCUAAUGUCACCGCAUACUCGGAUGUGCUUGUGGUGAAUAUGGUUGGUGGCCUUGUCACUGGAGCAGUGGCCGAACGAUUAGGAGGUAUAGAGCUUUUCUUGAUACAAUCUCUGCUGCAUUUAGGAUUUGCUGUUGAUUAUUUAUGCAACAAUGUCCCUUGCUAUUGUGUGCAUUAUAUGUAAAUUCCUAUUUAACAGGCACUGGUUAUAUUUGCAAUACAUACAAGGGAAAUUAUCCUUCUCCUGUGGAAAUGGUUAGGAUGUUCAACUUUAAUGACAAGGUUAUAGAGAGGUAUGUUCGAUUUUCUCCUAGUCUUUUUUGUCUCUGUAGAUUGUUAUUGAAGCCGUUCUGUGUGUAAAAUAUAUUUGUAAUUGACCCUUUCUGUGUGCAGGAUCGUGCAGUCAUCUAUAAACGAGCUCUCAUCAGCCAAAACUGUAUCUCCUGAAGAAAACAAUAAACAAGAAAGAGUUUAUAACGCUGAGAUUAAUAUCAAUGCAAGUUGCCAACCUGUACCGUUUCACCUUAGUCUUAAUAUGAGAACUCUUUUGGUUAUAACAGAAGGUUUUUAUUUGAAAAUUACAGGAACCAUCUACAUCUGAUGUUGUAGAAGAGAAAUCUGUGAUAUCUGAGGCUAUGGUAGUAGAUAUUGUUGCCCCAGAGACCAAAAUCAUCAAGGCCCCAAAAGCUGGAGCCAAGGCUUCGAAAGAAGCAAUAGAAAUGUGGCAAGAAAACGGUUUCUCUAGGUAAGUAAAUGUAAGUGUUUCUCUGAAUGAAAUUAGUUUCGGUUAAUAAAUGCCUGAAACUUGUCUGUUUGAUUUGCAGUCUAAUCAUGGCUGCACAAGACCAAGACCCAUGGAGCUUAGCUAAAGAUGUAUUGCCUCUGCUCUCUUGCCGCUGGCGACAUGUAUGCACAACCUUCAGCAGGGGAAGAUGGCGAUCAAUCUGCAAAUAACAGAACCAUGACUACGUGAAUAUCAGGUCUGAUCAAAUUUUCUUUUCUUUUGUUUCCCAAUAUAUUAUUCGAUCAACAGGUGCUGAUAUAUUAAAAUGCAGGUGCUUCCUUCAAGAACUCACCCUCACAUGCAAAUGAGUUCUUUUGGAGGCUAUGUUCUGAGCGGCAUCAGAAUCUCUACCACUUGAUUCUUGUUUGCAAACCUCAUGAUUCUUAUAGUUCUCAAUAACUGAGGUUUGAUGUUUGAUCUUUCCUUUCAGAAAGGUCUUUGUAUUUGUAUGUUGUUAAGAUAGAGGGCUGAGAUUAUAGGAAAACUUUCAUGUUGAUCUUUUCAAUCUAAUCUAUAUAGUUUAUUGAUUAAUGAUCGUUAUGGUUUAUUGCAAAUUGUACAAAAUCUUAGAAAGUAGAAAUCUUUAUGAAAUUCACUAACCUAAAUGAAAAUAUCAUCAUCAUUACCAUUGGCUCAGUUUCAUAAAGAUUAUGAAACAUUAAAUUUACACAAUAUAUAUUUUCAAUAAUAAUUUUUUUUUUGGUGAUGAACUCCAUUUUCAGGUUCAGUAAUGGAACCCAAAAAUUGAUCUAGGUUCUUCCCAAACCUUUUAAAAAAAAAUUUAAUUUUUUAAUCUGAUGAACCUCAUAUACAGGUUUAGUUUGCAUUCUCAGUUUCUCACUGCACCUACAUACUUACAUAGGACAUAACGUCUUCUAUAUUAUCAUCUUUCUAGUCAUCCAAAACUCACGUUUUGUAACCGUACUACUUUUGGUGAAGAAAUUGGACAAAUGCAACUUUUUAUGGCUGUUGUAUUUCUGAGUUAAAGAUAAAAUGUAACCAAGAGUUUUGGUGGUGGCCUAAACGAGAACGUACACAUGCAAUAAGUCAUUAUCUUACCUCAUGAACAACACAAUUUUUGGUUACUAUGCUUAAUAAUCCUCGAUCGUGAUUUUUUAUAAACGUUAUAUUACGUCAGAUAUUAUAUUAUACAAGAUAUCACAACAGUCAUACCGAUUAUUUUCAGUAAAUCUUUUGUGUUUAAAAGGCUCAGAUAAAACUUUAGGAAAUCAAGGUAAUCUCUAGACUCUACAUAAGACUCUGAUCGUCUAUAUAUAGCAAGAGGAUAUCUUCAAUAUAUAUGGCAGGAAGAUUUUAUCAAUAUAUAUGGCAAGAGGAUUUUUUUCAAUUCAUGUGUGGGAUCGUGUAAUCUGUUUUCAUCAAUGCAAUCCCCGAUUGGUCAACAUGAAAUGUAACCGCGACUUUAGAGUACAUACAAAAUAUGUUUAGUAUUGUAAUUGAAAAUAGUGCACUAUACACAUACCGACUUAGCUGCCACAAUCCAAAAGCAAUUUAUUUUUUCUAUUCGGUCAAGAUCUCUUCCAACAUUAUAUUCUAUAUUUUCCAUCUUGAUAUAUAAAUAUUUUAGUUUUAUUAAACCUGUUCAACAAGCCCGCGGUCCAACCAAAAUGGUGCUCCAAGAAAAAAAAAUGUGGCCAUUUGUAAACUCUAAAUUUUAAAAAACAAUGAAUGUGUGGACCAUCAAAAACUAUAAAAAUUGAGGCCCUAGGCGAUGACCUAGCCUGCCCGAGUCUGCUGUUCACUAAAAACACAUGUCGAAUUAUCUUGAAGUAUAGUUAAUAAUGUUGUUAUUAAUGUAUAGAAAUUUUGUCAGCUUUACCUUACAGUAAUUUACUAUUUUAAUAAAGUUUAUGUUUUCCGUCUACAUAUGAUAAUACGAUCCUUUUUGUUAAAGAUGAUUAUUGAUGCAAAUUUAACGGAAAGCUCGUCUGCAAGAGCAACUAGCAAUGGUUGUAUCAAUUAUAAUUAUUAUGGGUAGGUAUUGAUCAUGCAUGUAGAUAGCCUUUCAAUAAAUUUCUUUCAAUUCAACAAUAAUUCACUAUCCCCCUUACUGGGUCCGCUUCUGGGUAGGUAUUGAUCCUGCAAGUAGCUAGAUAGACUUUUCAGUAAAUUUCUUUCAAUUCAACAAUGUGUAUUGCAUCAUUUUUUAAUUGCAUCAUAAAAAUAAAUGAUAUUAUUUUGCUUCAUUCAUUAAUAAUUGAUAUAAAAAAUAUAAUUUAACAUCAGUCAUAUAAUUGAUUUUAUUAUUAGUUAUUUUAAUAGCAAUUCAAUAAUAAAUAAUAUAAAAUUUCAUUAAUUUGGAUUAUUUUAUGAAAAAAAUUACAAAAUAUUAAUGCACUCACUUAGAUAAUUGAUGUAACUAUUUUUAAUUUUUGCUAAUAUUAUUUAAAAAUUAUACAAAAAUAUAUCAAUAAAAAUGAUGUUAGUAAAUUUUUAGUUAUCUUUGAUAUUUGUUCUACAUCAACAACUAAGAGAGAAAGCGAAAAGUUUUGUUUUUUUUUAUUCAACAAUCUAAAUAUUUAGAAUGGUUCGACAAACCAAACCAAUAGUACUAAGUUUACAUAAAUAAUAUCAUAAAGGUAGACUCGAGCAAUUCUUGCUAGAUUGUCUGCUUUCAAAUUUUUUGUACGUGGGAUAUACGAUAUUGAAUAACUAAUAAAAAAUUAAUAAAAAAAUUAUAUAUUUUCAAAAAAUCAAUAUUGAUGUGUUAUAUAUAUGUAAAAAUUUAAAAUUAUUUAUAAAAUAAUUCAUAAAUUAAUACUAAAAUAAUUUAUAAUUAUUAUAUAUAUUUUAAAAUCAAUAAUUAUCAUUAUUAAUAUUAAUUGAUGCAAGAUUUUUAAAUUUUUUGCAACCGACACAAAUUAACAUUGACUAUCAUAACUGAUGCAAUAUUUACAUUAUUUACUUAAACUAAUGCAAAUAUUUACAUUAGUUGUUUAAUUGAUGUAAAAUACUUACAGUGGCGGACAUGUCAAAUUUAUAUUUUAUUAUUUUGGUAAUAGUAUUCGAAGAUAACAGCUUAUUUGGUUCAUCCAACCUUUUUAAACAUUUUACUUUAGGUUUGAAUCCUGAGAUAACAUUAAUUUUUUUAAUAUGUUUGCACCCUUUUAAAAUUAAUCUUGGAUCUGCUACUAUGCACAAUUGAUGUAAAUAUUUGAAUAACCAUUUUCAGAAUCAUUAAAAAUUAAUUUAAAUAUAUAAGGUACAUGAUGUGAAACCCAUUUUUUGGUAGUUGUAGGUUGUAAACUUGUACUAAUCAUAUAAGAGAGAAACGAUGCAAUCGAAUUGAUGAUACUAAAGUAAAACCCACUCCACGUCUACAAAUGCACCUAUAAUAUGACUGUAUGAAUAUACGUUUUUACUUUUUACUUAUAAAUAUUUUUAAAUAUAUAAGACAAGUCGAAGUCUCAAGUUGAGAUAAGAUGUAAAAUAUUUUUUUUUCUGUGUAAAGAAAAAUAUUUGUGAAGGAAUAGUUAGAAACUUAGAGUAUCUCCAUUGGUGAGAAACUCUAAAAAAUAUCUUAAAUAAAAAAUAUUAAUAUUUAAUUAAAAUUUUAUUAUUUCAUUAAAUUUCAAUUUAAAAAGCAAAUUUGAAUCAUUUUAAAAAUGACACAAGUGUUUUAGAGUUUUCAUUGGGUUUCUAUAAGUUUUCGUUUGAAAAACCUAUCUCAUUCUCUCUUUUUUUUCUAUUAUCUUUUUUUUAUAUAUAAUAAGAGAUUUUGAUGAGAACCUCUCAAUGGAAGUGGUCGAACGUAUUAAAUAUUUAAGUUAAUUGUAAUAAAAUUGGGAAUUUUGAUAACACACGCCAGCUGAAUGGCUGAUGCCAUGACACGUCUUGCGAACGCAAAAAUCUCGAGUAAACUUUUGUUUUCAUGCUGCUGCAUCAGUAUUUUAGUCUUUCUCUACUAUUUUUUUUUUUAAGAACUGGAAAAUGACUUUCGAAGUAAAUUUUCUUUCAGAUAAAUUUACAAGAUGGAAUAUCCAAAAUUCUGUAGUUUAACAAAAAAAAAAUAGGUCUACACGAUUGUACAGAAAGUUUUCUAUUGAUUUAUAUACGAGUUUAAAAUCUUAGCACUUAUUAGUGUUCGUUUUUUGUUUUCUAUUAUGGUAGAUUCCAAACUGUUUUAAAUCUACGGCUUAGAAUUUGCUGUCGAAAUUUUGUCUUAAGAUUGGGCGUUUUUACAUAGAGAUAUUAUCAUAUAUGAACCAGUCAAAAGACACAGUUCACCAUAUUAGAAAUCUCUAGAGAUCUCUAGAUUUUCUCCACUCUUUAAAUUUCAACUUUGUUGUAGAGUUCUCCUCAUUAUUUUAUCAACUCUUUCAAGCUAUAUUCAUUUAAUUUGAAAGCCAUUUAUCCCAAAAAAAAAAGGCACGAUCAAUCCUAAACCUUUCUUUAUAAAUUUGUUGUCUCUUAAACGCCAUGCACUUUGGCGUUUUUGGUCUCAUCCAUAAAAAUUCCAACCAACUCUGUCUCUAACCUCUAUAUUAUAUGGUUUGUAUAUAAACAUGUAUUAUAUAUAUAUUAUGCAUCAAUAAUUGGAAAAUUUUAGAAUAAGGAUUGUAAAGUUGCUAUAUGGUGGUAAGACAGGAAGGAAUUACUUGCCUAGCAUCAUAUAGACAACGAUACACUUUUUUCUUUCAAAUCCCACAAAACAACAUACAAAGUACAAACCAAAUACGUCGUCAUUUAGCAAAUGACUCCACGUGUGCAUGUAGAUAUGUAGUCUUCGAUUUACUAGUAAUAGUUUGUAAAAUAUUUAAAAGUUUGAGUUAUGACCAUUAAUCUGCGAGCUUCGCCAAAAUAGAAUUUUUCCCUACGGUUUGGAUCUACAAAAUUUAAAUUAAUAACGACAACUGAUGAAUGUUUGCACAUACAUUCAUGUUUCGCUCACACCAAUCAACUUCAAUGAUUUUAAAUCGUUUAGCUUGGCUUGUUUCAUACGUAAAUAUAAUUAUAUAUUUUCAAAUUAUAAAAAACCAAAUGGUAACAUCAUAUACAAGUGAUGUACGCUCAUUAAUUAUAUUUGCAUUUCACAUUCGAACAAAAAAGAUCAUAUAUGAUUUACAGAUACACUUUUUUUUUGCUUCGUAAAAUGCGUGGUAUAUAUAAUGUAAUUGCAAGGAUUCUAUAGAUUCAAUUACAAAUUAUUUAAAGUGUGAAUUAAAUAUAUUUAUACAUAUAUUUUUUUUUGGGUCAAGUGUGAAUUAAUUAUAUAAAAUGUGAAACUGUGUUACGAAAUCCAAAAGUAUAAUUCCGGCAAAAAAGAAAACGAAGAUACAAAAAGAUCGCGCUUUUGACAUUUGCUCACAAAGUUGAAAACUUAGCGAAACGAAAUACUCGCACAAUUACAAGAAUUUUCAAUUUAGCGUCAUUUGAUUUAGUAGUAAACAUAAUUUCCCACAAUUUCAUUAUUUUUUUGGUAACUUUGGAAUAAGUGUACAUAGUAGAAUUAGUUAAUAGUAACGCUUGACUCAUUUGAGAUUUAUAAAAGAUGGCGUACAUUACAAACUCUCUAUCAAUUAACUAGUUGAAAUUGUUAAACGUUCCGAGUCUUCUACCAAUGCAUUUUUAAAUUAAUUACUCCCUAAUUAUCAACUUGGAUAUACUUAAUUAUCAGACUCUUCGAGUUUUUCUUCUUCUCUUUUGUGUGUGUCACUGUGUAUAAGAAAACUUGAGUAGUGAGAAGAUGAAAGACUUCUGUGUCUUUAUAUAUAGAGGCGACCAUAUUCACUUUCAGUACGGAGUCAGAGAGAAAAGAGCUCGACUAUUUUCUAACAGCAAAAACCAACAUAUGCAGUGUACUGUAACGUCUGCGAUAAGCCUGCUCCUUGUGCACAGUGGAUGUCUUCGCAUUGUAAUGCUUCGGCGGAGUCUAUGCAGCGGAAAGUUACUAUGACUCUUGAGAGUGAGAGCUUUUACUAUGACUCCGAUUACGAUCAUCUUUGACUUGACUAGUAGAUCAACGUAACUAGCUUUGGAAGAGCAUGUAAUGACAAUGCGUAACUAAGUUUGAGAUUGUUAUUUAUGUACUUUGUUAAUCUUUGAAAUGCAUUUGCUUAGCUGAAUUUUUGCAUGUUGAAAUAAUUCGGUAUAGACCUCGGCAAGGGUCGAUUUCGAAUUUGGAAAGAAAGUAGAAAACAAAACGAUAUAUUUAAUAGAAAAGACCUAACUUUGAAACCAGCACCUUCUUGAAUCUUCGAACAAGUAAAAGAGUAUUUGUUCCCAAGUCCCAAACUUGCAACUUGCAAGCUUCAAAAUUCUCAGGCUUUUUGAAACAUAUCAGUUAGUAAAAGAUUAUGUUAAAUAAAGUUUUAAUAACAGAGUCGGGUUUAGGGGCGUUCAUAAGCCUUGACAAGGUUUAAAAGUGGAGUCAUGUAAAUUGUUAUAUAAAUUGUUGACAGAAACAAAUUUGUUAUACAAAUCAUAUAAAAAUAUUGCUAUUAAUAUUUAUAAAUUUGCUUAGACUUUCAUCAUUCGUCUACAUGAUGGAAAUAACAAUAUUAGAGCAUAUCCAUCAGUAUUUCUUAAAAGUUUUUUUGGCACAGUUUCAUAGAUGAAUUGAAUUAAAAAUAAAUAAAAAAUUCAUGUUUUCUAUAGAUCGCUCCUUAAAUAAGUAGCUGAAGAAGCUGUCUCUUAGGACAAGUGUCGAUUGGGAAUAAUUAUUUUUAUGAUUGAAUUAAUUUUAAUUUAAUAUUAUUUGCUCUUACUCUCAUUAGGGUUGGAACGGAGCCGGAUAUCCAGACUUUUCAAAGUAUCCGGAUCCGGCUCCGGAUUUAACGGAUAAUCAAUUUUAUUAUCCGGAUUCGGAUCCGAAAACUAAGACCGAAUAUCCGGUUUGAACCGAAGAUUUACUGAUAUCCGACCGGAUAUCCGGUUUCGUUGAUUUAAAAAAAAAACUUCAAUUUUUAAAAUUAUAAUGAGAUAACAUAUAUAAUUAAAAUGUAUUAUUAUAGCAAAAAUUACAAAUACCAAAAAUUUAAAAGCAUUCAAGUAGCAUUCAAAUAAUACAAAGUUUAAAAGUUUACAUAGCAAAGGAGAAAAUAGUAAUAGAAGUUAAUUUAUCUUCAUAUCCUUGUGUUAACUAUUUUCAUGGUCUUUUCUCACAAUCUGAAAUAGAAAAUUAUUAUGCAAUAUAAAUUUCAAUCAUGUGUAAUAGAGUUAAACCAAAAACAAUUUUCAAACAUAAUUAAAACAAAAAAUUAAAUGCAUAUCCAAAGAUUUCAAAAUUUUCAAAAUCUUAAUAAACGGAUAACGGAUAACGGAUAUCCGAUUUUAAAAUUUUCUAUUAUCCGGAUCCGUAUCCGAAAUAACCGAAUACUUAAUUUCACUAUCCGGAUCCGGAUUCGAACUACACGAAUAUCCAAUUUUUACGGAUCAGAUAGGACCGGAUACCGGAUCGGAUACCGGAUACCGGAUAAUAAUUCCAGCCCUAACUCUCACUCACACGUCUCUCUUUUAUUUGCUUCUUCAACAAAUAAUAUAUAUUUUUUUAAUAAACUCAAAUAAGAGUUCACUAAAAUAUUGCUAUUAAUGGAGGCAAAAAAAACAUAAGUCUCUUCACUAUUCUUAACUUCUCAAAAAUAUUAUUAAAGAAUUGCUAAGGAUUCCAUGUUGGAUUACAUUGAUAGAAAUGCUUUUAACAGUUAAUAAUGCAUUUGCUUAGACUUUCAUUAUUCGUCUGGUGAAAAAUAUUUCUCUAUCAAAAUCUCAUGGUCACAGUCAUGAUCACUCUCUCAAACACUCAUCUUCUCAGUGCGGGCUAGUCUAUUGGUUUAUAUAGACCUUGGCGAACAUUUUGGAAUCCAAAGGUGUUAACCCAUUGGGAUUUUCAGUCCCAAAUGUGCUACGUACCAUGAUCGAGUCAUACAUUUUUUGGACCCAUGGUCCCUAUUGAUCAUACUUGUAGUCUCCUUUUUUUGGUCAAAGGACAAUGCAAUCUUUAAUUGUAUCAGCACGAGAUAUAAACAGAGAAAUGAGUUUUUUUUCCCUUUCAUUAAAUAUUUAAUAAGCAACAAACAUAUCAUAGUCAAAAGGUCACGAAGUAGAAGUAGACAAAGAGGCAUAAGUAUUUAGCAUUAAGAGGGAAUUUAACUUCAGAUCUGCUUGAGAAACUCCACGAUGUAAACACCAAAGGCUUGGCAGAAAACUUGGAUCCCUUGGAAACCAGACUCUCUAGCUAGUGCCUCUAAUUCUUUCUUGGUCCGUUCUUUGCCUCCGAGGAUGUAAGCCAACAUAAUACAGUCUAUAUGGACGACAUGUUUAGUCAGGAGACUUGAGUCUGGGAUAUCUGGAGCUAUACAUUCUGCUAAUAUCACUUUUCCCUUAUCUGGAAGGGCCUUGUGGCAAUUCUUCAAGAGUUUCACACAGUGUUCCUCGCUCCAAUUAUGGCAUAUUCCCUGCCACAACAAGUAAAAAAAAAAGAUUUACUGAUUAGUUUGAUUUCGGUCCAGAUGAUCCGGCUAAAAAAAUAUAUCAAAGUUAGUUUAAAGUUUACUAACCUUCAUGAAAAUGGCAUCUCCCUUGGGGACAUUUACAAACAUAUCUCCUCCAACAUGCUCAAUGCCUGCAUUACUAAAUAUAAGCCAAUCUCUCAAUCAAAUCUAAAAAGUUUUGAUCUGAAUAAAUGGCAUAAAAAGUCUAAUAUACUACCGGGAUAAGGAGGAGCAUCUUCGAUAACAUGUGGCUGAUCAAAGUUGAUGCCUUUAAUGUUUGGGUACUUGGACACAAUCAUAUUGAGAGUGGCACCAAUGCCACCACCAACAUCAACCAAAGAAGUCAAGCCCUCGAAACCCUUAUAAGUCUCAAGAAUCUUCUUCAUUGUGAUGCUUGAUAGGUUAGCCAUUCCGUUGUUGAAGACCUUGCUGAAUCUAGUGUCAGUCUCAAGGUACUCGAAACAGCUCAUUCCAUAAGCCUUGUUGAAUGGGAUCCCACCUUCAAGAAUUGCAUCUGUCAUAUGGUACCUGCACAACUCAUAUAUAUAUAUUUGGUAGUGAGCCCAAAACAAAAACAAAUGUGUCUAGGACUCUUAAAUGUUUUUUUUUUUGUCAUUCUUCUUUUUAAAAGAAAAUUAUACUGUCAUUCUUUCUAUACAUUAUUUCAUUCUUCUUCAAUUUACUUAUUUUUUUCUAAUAAUAUUCAUGCGAAAAUAGUAAUUGUUUAAAAUCUUUUUUUAUUUACCAGCUUUCCAUGCCGACCUUGUCUUGGUUCACAAGACAAAGAGCAGCGAUGGAGACGCCGUCUUCGUUCUUGGUCAAAUACUUGCAAACGGGACCGAGCCCGUAAAGCCGUUCAACGCCGUCGCCGUCAGGGAGUGUACGGAGGGAGCAGGUGAGGAUGGAGUAAGCCGCAAGAAGCCGGAGGAUACGGUCGAGCAUGACCGGAGCUUCAGGGUUUUUGGUCGGGAGAUGGGAAGCGAUCUCAGAGGGAGACAUGGGAGAAGAGUUCUUGGCCAUGAUCUCGAGAAUUCCGAGCUCUAUAACCGGUUUCAAAGCCAUCGGAAGAACAGGGGCAUGGGCUAGCUGCAUGGCGAAGAGGGCAGCUUCGUCGUCGUCGGUAACUUGCACCGGAG
rnacentral:lncRNA from 1 species